GACAGAGGGUGCAAACGUUGUUCGGAAUUACUGGGCGUAAAGCGCAUGUAGGCGGCUCUGCAGGUCGGGUGUGAAAUCCCUCGGCUCAACCGAGGACGUGCACUCGAAACCGCAGAGCUCGAGUCCCGGAGAGGGUGGUGGAAUUCUCGGCGUAGAGGUGAAAUUCGUAGAUAUCGGGAGGAACACCGGCGGCGAAAAGCGGCCACCUGGACGAGGACUGACGCUGAGGUGCGAAAAGCGUGGGGGAGCAAACAGG
rnacentral:rRNA from 1 species